CAGGGGGGGCAAGCGUUGUUCGGAAUUACUGGGCGUAAAGGGCUCGUAGGCGGCCAACUAAGUCACACGUGAAAUCCCCAGGCUUAACCUGGGAACUGCGUGUGAUACUGGAUGGCUUGAAUUCGGGAGAGGGAUGCAGAAUUCCAGGUGUAGCGGUGAAAUGCGUAGAUAUCUGGAGGAAUACCGGUGGCGAAGGCGGCAUCCUGGACCGACAUUGACGCUGAGGAGCGAAAGCUAGGGGAGCAAACGGGAUUAGAUACCCCGGUAGUCCUAGCCCUAAACGAUGAAUGCUUGGUGUGGCGGGUAUCGAUCCCUGCCGUGCCGAAGCUAACGCAUUAAGCAUUCCGCCUGGGGAGUACGGUCGCAAGGCUG
rnacentral:rRNA from 1 species